GGUAUUAUAGUUCAAUCGAUUAGAGCACCACCCUGUCAAGGCGGAAGUUGCGAGUUCGAGCCCGUCAAUCCUG
rnacentral:tRNA from 1 species